rnacentral:other from 1 species
GGUCCCCUGCGGUGUUCGUGAUGACGCCCCUAUUCUUUGAACCCGGGAAAGCCAAAAACAGGAAUAUGGCACCCACCUAGAUUCCUAGGUUCAAAAAAAAGGCGUCACACGGCAUUCGCGGGGGCUUU